AUGUACAUGCCUACAACAUAGCGUUAAUGCAUCAGAUCCCAUUAGAUCUCUGCAGUUAAGCGUGCUCAGUAUAGAGUAGUACUAGGAUGGGUGACCACCCAAGAAGUCCUAUUGUUUUACAUU
rnacentral:rRNA from 1 species